GCAUAUCAAUAAGCGGAGGAAAAGAAACUAACAAGGAUUCCCUCAGUAACGGCGAGUGAAGCGGGAAGAGCUCAAAUUUAAAAUCUGGCUUGCUUGCAAGUCCGAGUUGUAGUCUGAAGAAGCGUUUUCCAUAAGCACUGAGGCACAAGUCCCUUGGAACAGGGCAUCAUAGAGGGUGAGAAUCCCGUCCAUGGUCUCAAGUCGCUUAUUUUGUGAUACGCUUUCAAAGAGUCAGGUUGUUUGGGAAUGCAGCCUAAAAUGGGUGGUAAAUUUCAUCUAAAGCUAAAUAUUGGCGAGAGACCGAUAGCGAACAAGUACCGUGAGGGAAAGAUGAAAAGAACUUUGAAAAGAGAGUUAAACAGUACGUGAAAUUGUUGAAAGGGAACCGUUUGAAGCCAGUCUUACUUGCCUGUGAUCAGUUUGUACCUCGGUAUGAAUGCACUCUUGGGUAUGGUAGGCCAACGACAGUUUGGAGUGCGAGAAAAAAACUUGGGAAAUGUGGCCUUCGGGUGUUAUAGUCCCUUGUAAAAUAUCGUGUUCCGGACUGAGGAUCGCAGUAAAAAUGUGGGCAGGUAGAUUUCUGUGGCGAAUGUUUAUUAGGACAACUUGUUGACCUAGUUUGCACGAACUUCACUGUUUGCCUCGCUUCUAAUUUGCUUAGGUCGUUGGCAUAAUGGCUUUAAAUGACCCGUCUUGAAACACGGACCAAGGAGUCUAACAUAUAUGCGAGUAUUUGGGUGACAAACCCAUAUGCGCAAUGAAAGUGAAACUAGGUGCCAAACCUCACGGUGGCAGCAUCGGCCGGCUCUGACGUUUUAACUGACGAGUCUGAGCAGAAGCAUACAUGUUGGGACCCGAAAGAUGGUGAACUAUGCCUGAAUAGGGUGAAGCCAGAGGAAACUCUGGUGGAGGCUCGUAGCGAUUCUGACGUGCAAAUCGAUCGUCAAAUUUGGGUAUAGGGGCGAAAGACUAAUCGA
rnacentral:rRNA from 1 species